rnacentral:rRNA from 1 species
GAAAGAGUAAACCAGGAGGGAUUUUUUAUAAUUGAGAAAAUGAAUUCUUUUUAGUAAAAAGGCUAAAAUGAAUCUUGACAACAAGAAGACCACCAAAAACUUUAUAUUUUUUGUCUUUAAUUGAAGGAGAAAAAAUAUUACACUGGGGCGGUGAGGAAAUAAGACUUUCUUUAAAGAAAUAAACGAACUUGUUAUAAUACCUAAAAAUUUUAAAAUAGAAAUAAGAUACUUUAGUAACAGCAGCAUCAUCCACGAAAGUUCUAAUUGACAAGUGAGUUGACCUCGAUGUUGAAUUAAAAUACCUUUUGUUGCGCAAAA